UGAGUAAUCUGCCCUCGAUUCUGGGAUAGCCCGGGGAAACCCGGAUUAAUACCGGAUAGCCUCUCGAGCUUUCGAGCUCUUGAGAAAAGGUAGCUUCGGCCUCCGAUCGAGGAUGAGCCCGCAGCGGAUUAGCUUGUUGGUGGGGUAAUGGCCUACCAAGGCGACGAUCCAUAGCUGGUCUGAGAGGACGAUCAGCCACACUGGGACUGAGACACGGCCCAGAUCCGUACGGGG
rnacentral:rRNA from 1 species